UGAUCAAGAUAUAGGAUUCAUCGCGGUUGUGACAGUUCGACAGUGUGGAUUAGGCAGGUUUCGUGACCAGGAGGAUGUCGUUGUUUCAAGCCUCAGACGUUUACAGACAAUGAUUGCCCCUUCACCACACGUUCGACAUUUACAAAUGAGAAUCAUUGAUGAAAGGCGAAGAUAAAGAACAGUGAUCAUAACUCCUAUCAGCAAUACAAAAUAGAUUUGGGCAAACACGGACCCCUUGACACACCAGAGGUGGAAUCAGCAGCCCAGGAAGAGUAAGCAUCCCCUGUCGACCGGUCACACUCGCCGUGAGCCCCACAUUCCGAUCAAGUAAACGGAGUUAUACGUAGUCAAAAUCAGUGUGCCAAGAAGGGCCCAACAAUCGGCAUGUAACACGUCAGACAGCAUUUGACCCAAUGAUAGGCCGCAUCGGCAAACUAGAUCGUUAUAACGAGCAUAGAAUUUGCGAAACGCCGAUUUUAAACGAGACUGUUGGAACCCCUGCACCAUCAACUUGUUUGUCAGUAGCCUGCUUCGAUUUAAAACCGGACCAUACGCAGAAACACCUCUUGCGUGUCGAAUCAGUUGAGAGAUGCUAACAUCAUAUGGAGGUGAUAAUUGAAUAUUGCUACAUAAAUAUGGGAAGUUGACGAUGGAGAAGCCGAAAUCAUCCCUCCUGUAACAAAGCCGAGCUGCCACCCUGUCGCCAACAUCCACCCUCAACAAAACAUCCAAGCACGAAGCAGAAACGGACGACCCUGCGGCGUCCCUCACCCCUAGCCCACCGGGAUAUAUUGAAUCUUCACAUGAAUGAAAAUUGUCAUUGUUAAUAUAUAAUACAUCGUUGAUAUACCUAAAUGUCGAGUUGAAGAUAUUGUGAAUGAGGAACUCCAGCAUAUUUUUUAUUUCAACUUCAGAGUACUUGUGCGUGGAAUCAGAGUGAAGUUUAACAAAGUAAUUUUUUAUGACUGAUCACUAGAUAGGAAUAUUUGCGAUAUCCAUUCUUGUUGAAGAAGCAACUGUGUAUGA